AUAGGUCAGGGUGAUGUUCCAGUGAUUGGAGAGGAAUGAAAUCUGUGUUAGUUUUCUGUGAGGAGUCUGUCAUGAGGGACGUUUAAAGCUGGUAGAAACUUGAACUUUUUUGUGUUACAAAGGUUAGCAGAGCAGACAGGGAACCUCCUGAUGUGCUGUUGGGCUUCAUUUUAGGACGACAAAUACAUUUUCUUAUGUAUAGACAUCAUGCGGACAUGUCCUGUUCAUCCAUCUGUGGGUUGAGGAAUACGGAGCAGUGGGACAAACAGCACAGCCGUGAGACCCCGCUGUGUCCAAAUAAAGGCAGCCUUCUCACUGGAUGUUUCACUCUCCCAGAUUACCCACAGUGCUUUGCCAUCCAUUGGACAGAGAUUUCAGCUCCAUGUGUAUCUGGCAAGCUCAGAAUAAGCCCAAUGAUCUCCAAUUACCCUCCUCUCACGGAUUGUUUGGUGUCACUGGCCGUCUGCUGGUGAUUCUGCGGCUGCAGUGAAAAAGGACACUUCCACAGUUCUGUUGGUGUGCGCUGUGCUUAUUAAGACAUUACAGCAGGACGGAGACAGUUCAUUAAAGAUUUGAGCUGCAGUGUGUCCUUGGUGCUCGGGCUUGUUCUCACCCUCUUUAGCACAGCAGACACAUUCUUUACUCUUAUUCACCUGCUGAUGCCGCCAGCUCAUAUUUCCCUCUGUGCAGUAGGGAAUUGUGGGAUUGAGACAUUUCUAUGUUGGCAGAGUUGGCAGAGCACAGAAGUGGAGAUAUGAUGCUUAAAUUAACUCCAUCAGUUAAUAUCAUAUGACUGUAUGGUUUCCUCUGCAGCUUCUGUCAGAGGGCCUAAGAGGCACCGGUCAAAUUAAGUUAUGGCGAUGCUUUGUACUGAUGUCUUCUGAAGAUUAUUUUAUUCUCUGUCUCUUCAGACACUGUGAAAAGUACAGCAAAAGAUUAAAUAUAUAAAAGUUUCAAAACAUACAUUUUCCAUGCACUCUUAAAGUCUUGCAGGCUAGUGUCCAUUGAUAACACAACAGAAAUGUGCUGAAAUAAAAAAUAAAUUAACUUAAACUGAACCACUAAUGUUCAUGUAAGCAGCAGUAAAAUGUAUGAGUACAUUUACUCAAGUAUUUUGCUUGAGUACAUAUUCAUGGAACUUUACUUAAGUAUUUUCUUGUCAUGUCACUGUAUACUUUUGUUCCACUAUUGUACUUUUUACAUCACCACGUUUAUCUGACAGCUUUAGUUACUCUACUGAUUAAGAUUUGUGUAGAAAAACAUAACCAGAUUUUAAUAAAUGUGAUGUUUUAUUAUGACUUAAUUACCAAACAGUUUACAAGUACAGCUGAAACAAUUAGAUGAUUAAUCACUUUGCCAACUGACAUAAAAUGAAUUGCCUACAUCAAACA